CCAAUGGGAUACUGAACCCAUAUAAAGUUCUUCCAUACUCAAUUGCUUCUUACAGCUGAGAUAAGCUGAAAUUCAACAUUCCCUGAGGUAGCAAGCAUGAUGGUUUUGUCUCAAGUUGUAGCAAGUGGACAUAACUGAGCUACAGCUCAGUGGGAUGCAAUUCUAUUAAACUAUGAAGUUAGAGAUGUUCAAUACUAUCUGGCAUCUGAUUGGAGAAGGAGCAAGUUCUAUUAAAUAGAAAGCACUAGUAAUUGUAUGGCACUUGAAGAUAGUAAUCUCCAUGUCGUGGCAAUGAGUUGUGUAGUUGAUGAGUACCUAAACAGUACUGAAGAUUAAAUGAAAUAAAAGCAUAUUCCUAUGAA